AGAGACGCUGGCGGCGUGCCUAAUACAUGCAAGUCGAGCGAACAGAUGAGAAGCUUGCUUCUCUGAUGUUAGCGGCGGACGGGUGAGUAACACGUGGGUAACCUACCUAUAAGACUGGGAUAACUCCGGGAAACCGGGGCUAAUACCGGAUAAUAUAUUGAACCGCAUGGUUCAAUGUUGAAAGACGGUUUCGGCUGUCACUUAUAAUGGACCCGCGCCGAUAGCUAGUUGGAAGGUAACGGCUUACCAAGGCAACAUACGUAGCCGACCUGAGAGGGUGAUCGGCCACACUGGAACUGAGACACGGUCCAGACUCCUAGGGAGGCAGCAGUAGGGAAUCUUCCGCAAUGGGCGAAAGCCUGACGGAGCAACGCCGCGUGAGUGAUGAAGGUCUUAGGAUCGAAAACUCUGUUGUUAGGGAAAACAAAUUUGUUAGUAACUGAACAAGUCUUGACGGUACCUAACCAGAAAGCACGGCUAACUACGUGCCAGCAGCCGCGGUAAUACGUAGGUGGCAAGCGUUAUCCGGAAUUAUUGGGCGUAAAGCGCGCGUGGCGGUUUCUUAAGUCUGAUGUGAAAGCCCACGGCUCACCGUGGAGGGUCAUUGGAAACUGGGAACUUGAUGCAAAGAGAGAGUGAAUUCCAUGUGUAGGGUGAAUGCCCAGAGAUAUGAAGAACCCAUGGCCAAGGCGCUCUCUGGCUGUACUGAGCUAUGUGCGAA
rnacentral:rRNA from 1 species